rnacentral:rRNA from 1 species
UACGAAGGGGGCUAGCGUUGCUCGGAAUCACUGGGCGUAAAGCGCACGUAGGCGGAUCGCUAAGUCAGGGGUGAAAUCCUGGAGCUCAACUCCAGAACUGCCUUGAUACUGGCAAUCUCGAGUCCGGGAGAGGUGAGUGGAACUGCGAGUGUAGAGGUGAAAUUCGUAGAUAUUCGCAAGAACACCAGUGGCGAAGGCGGCUCACUGGCCCGGUACUGACGCUGAGGUGCGAAAGCGUGGGGAGCAAAC